GACGAACGCUGGCGGCGUGCUUAACACAUGCAAGUCGAACGAUGAAGAAGAGAAACGCGAACUUCGGUUCAAAUUUCACUUCGGAUUAGUGGCAGACGGGUGAGUAACGCGUGAGCAACCUACCUCUUACAAAGGGAUAGCCUCGGGAAACCGUGAUUAAUACCAUAUGACACAUUCAUAAGGCAUCUUAAGAAUGUUAAAGCUACGGCGGUAAGAGAUGGGCUCGCGUCCCAUUAGCUAGUUGGUGAGGUAACGGCCCACCAAGGCGACGAUGGGUAACCGGCCUGAGAGGGUGAACGGUCACAUUGGAACUGAGACACGGUCCAAACUCCUACGGGAGGCAGCAGUGGGGAAUAUUGCACAAUGGAGGGAACUCUGAUGCAGCGACGCCGCGUGAGCGAUGAAGGAAUUCGUUUCGUAAAGCUCUGUUCUAUGGGAAGAAGAGGACUGUACCAUAGGAGAAAGCCCCGGCUAAAUACGUG
rnacentral:rRNA from 1 species